rnacentral:snoRNA from 1 species
UUGCCCGAUGAUUAUAAAAAGACGCGAAAGAGGACUUAAGCUGGAUGCUUUCCCUUUUUUUCCUCUUCUCUUCUCUACUCUUUCUUUAACUCUUCUUUAUCUACUUUUCCUCCUUUUUCUCUUGCUUCUUUUUCUCUCUUUGGAUGUCCAGCGUCCUAUGAGCGAAGAUUAUGAGAUAUGAGGGCAA